AACAGGUGAGUUAGUGAGGGAGAGAGAGAGGCCACAAACAGGUGAGGUAGUGAGGGAGAGAGAGAGGCCACAAACAGGUGAGUUAGUGAGGGAGAGAGAGAGGCCACAAACAGGUAAGGUAGUGAGGGAGAGAGAGAGGCCACAAACAGGUGAGUUAGUGAGGGAGAGAGAGAGGCCACAAACAGGUAAGGUAGUGAGGGAGAGAGAGAGGCCACAAACAGGUGAGUUAGUGAGGGAGAGAGAGAGGCCACAAACAGGUGAGUUAGUGAGGGAGAGAGAGAGGCUACAAACAGGUGAGUUAGUGAGGGAGAGAGAGAGUCCACAAACAGGUGAGUUAGUGAGGGAUAGAGAGAGGCCACAAACAGGUAAGGUAGUGAGAAGUGCUUCUCCAAGCUCAAAGAGGUCAUAGACUGAUCAUCUCUAUUCUCUUAGAAGAGUAGAAGAUGAUGUCCCCAUAGCACCUUUUUUUUCUAAGAGUGUAUCAAUCUGAAUGAUUGUACACUGCAUGGCCAAAUGUAUGUGGACAUGUCCUCAUCGAACAUCUCAUUCCAAAAUCAUGGGCAUUAAUAUGGAGAUGGUUCCCCCUUUGCUGCUAUAACAGCCUCCACUCUUUCGGAAAGCUUUCCACUAAAUAUUGGAACAUUGCU